UUUCCGUAGGUGAACCUGCGGAAGGAUCAUUAGUGAAUAUAGGACGUCCAACUUAACUUGGAGUCCGAACUCUCACUUUCUAACCCUGUGCACUUGUUUGGGAUAGUAACUCUCGCAAGAGAGCGAACUCCUAUUCACUUAUAAACACAAAGUCUAUGAAUGUAUUAAAUUUUAUAACAAAAUAAAACUUUCAACAACGGAUCUCUUGGCUCUCGCAUCGAUGAAGAACGCAGCGAAAUGCGAUAAGUAAUGUGAAUUGCAGAAUUCAGUGAAUCAUCGAAUCUUUGAACGCACCUUGCGCUCCAUGGUAUUCCGUGGAGCAUGCCUGUUUGAGUGUCAUGAAUACUUCAACCCUCCUCUUUCUUAAUGAUUGAAGAGGUGUUUGGUUUCUGAGCGCUGCUGGCCUUUACGGUCUAGCUCGUUCGUAAUGCAUUAGCAUCCGCAAUCGAACUUCGGAUUGACUUGGCGUAAUAGACUAUUCGCUGAGGAAUUCUAGUCUUCGGAUUAGAGCCGGGUUGGGUUAAAGGAAGCUUCUAAUCAGAAUGUCUACAUUUUAAGAUUAGAUCUCAAAUCAGGUAGGACUACCCGCUGAACUUAA
rnacentral:rRNA from 1 species